GAUGAAGAACGUAGCGAAAUGCGAUAAGUAGUGUGAAUUGCAGAAUUCAGUGAAUCAUCGAAUCUUUGAACGCACAUUGCGCCCCUUGGUAUUCCAUGGGGCAUGCCUGUUCGAGCGUCAUUUGUACCUUCAAGCUCUGCUUGGUGUUGGGUGUUUGUCUCGCCUCUGCGUGUAGACUCGCCUCAAAACAAUUGGCAGCCGGCGUAUUGAUUUCGGAGCGCAGUACAUUUCGCGCUUUGCACUCGUAACGACGACGUCCAAAAGUACAUUUUUACACUCUUGACCUCGGAUCAGGUAGGGAUACCCGCUGAACUUAAGCAUAUCAAUAAGCGGAGGA
rnacentral:misc_RNA from 1 species